AAUUUGUGAACACUUUUAUCAAGGGGGAAUUAAUUUCGAAUUACUAGUUUCACUGAGCUGGCUGUUAUCACUUUGGUUGGAAAGUCUCUUGCAGAAGAUGGAUGAGCCCCGAGAUGAAAGUUCAGUCCUACACCUGAAGGAAGACGGUUUCAUUAUAGUUGCCAGAUAAUGAUGUUACGCCCAGGAUCCAGUGAGAUGGAGGAGCCCAGAUGAAAGUUCAGUACUAGACCUGAAGGAAAAUUGUUUCAUUUUAUUUGCCAGAUAUGAUGAUGCAAAAAGAGCAUAGACAUAGAAAAUUGUGCCAUUGACAAAGAUCUGGAAAGAAGCUUAAGGUGGGACCAAGUGUCAGUCGAAAUGGCAGAUGAGUAGCACCUCGAUGGAAGAUGUUUACUUAGAUCUUCAACCAAGUACAAGGCUUUGCCAUGUAAGCAAUCAAGCAGCAAGGAUAGCAGCUGGAAUGAAGAUUAAUUAUUACAUUGAUCUUCAACCAAGUCUGAGGCUUUGUCAUGAAAGAAAUAA